AGAUUGCUCCUUGUGGAGUUUCUGUGAGCCUACAACACUGUGGACCCAGUAAAUGGGACUGGCUGCUGCAACCUGCUGGUGGCACUUGAGACAAGCUGUGGGGCAGUGGGAGCCCACUGUGGGGAGUGGGAAAUAGCUCUGGGCUCCCCAUGAAGUCAAUACCUGGCAGCAGCUUCACUGCAGGCACAGCACAACCAAGUCCAGCUCCUGCACUUCCCAACUGCAUCAUCAUAAGCUUCAGCACUGGACCAAUCCUGAAGGGGAAAAUGAAGAGGGCUGGCUGGUUUACAGAUGGAUGAACUCAUUGAGAACCCUAGCACCUGAGCCCUGAGUUCAAUUUAAUAUUGUAGCCUACAGCACUUUGCAGCUACUGCAUGCAACCUCAUGACAAGAAUUACUGAAGGAAGGUCUCUGCAAUGAAGGAGCCAAACGUCUUCUGUUCCUUGCAGUAGAAAUGGCAAACAUCCAGGAGCAGAGAUGGUCGGGGUCUCCAGCCCUGGCUGGCUGUUACAGUGAGGAAUCAAAAUCUACCAGCAGGCAACAGGCAGGCACUCUCCUCAGGAAGUAACUCAGCACUUGGAUGCUUCUUCUGAAGAUUGUGUGCCUGAACUUCCCCUUUCAAGGGCUGCUUAUCUUAUCAGCUGGGUUAAAGCGCAUUCACCAUGAGCAUCCAGGGAAAGAAGUUUUCUGCUGACCUGUGAUCAAGGGAAAUGAAAGAUGAGAGAAGAUAAAUCAAAUCUAUGUCUUGUCUAUCCAACUCUUGCUCCAUAUGCAAUGAUAAACUUUCAGGCCAAAUAAAGGAAAAUCUGAAGCAAGCCUAAGGAAGACCAAGGAAGUGCCUGAGGAAGAUCUCCCUUUGGCAACAGGUCUCAUGGUCUGAGAAAAAGACAGCAGACAAAAAUGCAUUUUUUUGGUAACUGCGAAGAAAGGCAGAGUGUUUUCGAACAGCACAGCAUGAGUUAACCCUCUUAUCACCUGCUGCCAAAUGCGCUCAUGCAUCUUUGGUACAAUGCCAAGCAGAUGCAUUCAGAUUCUUUGUAAGACUGAGGUACCAAACCUGUACUUCACACUGUGAGUGAGCAACAACACAUUGUUGCAUGGAGCAAUAACACAUUACUGCAGGCGGGAUUUGGUGAGAAUCUGUGUAAGAUUGCUUUUGCAGAGGCCACUUGCACAAAAGCCUCUGCUGCAGCAACAUUGUCUUCCAUCUUGAUCUUCUAGAAAUAAAAAAAAAGAAAGGUUUACAAAAUUACUGUGUCUUGCCUGUGAAAGAUGAAUCAUAGUGCUUUUCAAUAGAGCUGCAGGUUGUCAGGGGACCCUCGUCAAGGUUAUUGUUUUGAGCACCUGCAAAAAACACAUUUUUUUAAGGCUUUCUACCACUUAGAAAAGAAAUGAGAAAGGAGAUGAGAACAGACAGAUGAAAACUCGACUUAGCUGACUGCAAGCUUCUGUCACCCGGGGAAAUGUGAAGCAAAUUACACAGCACAAACCAAACAAUAUGAAAUGGG
rnacentral:lncRNA from 1 species